rnacentral:lncRNA from 1 species
GCGUUGUUUGGUGGUUCAACAACGGUUAUGGAGACCGAAAGGAUGACGACGACGGUGGGAGCUUUUAACGGAAGGGGCGGACAAUUGUGUUGAGGUGGAAAGUUAGAUUUGUCGGAAGGGAUUGAAAGGGAGAAGAUAUGUUUCCGAUGAGAGUUUUAUGUGUUAUUGUGUAGAGUGGCCGGAGUCGUGAAGCAGUAGUGUGAAGGUUGUGGUGUGUAGCUUGU